UAGUAACGGCGAGUGAACAGGGAAAAGCCCAGCACCGAAGCCUGUGGCCAUUUGGUUACUAGGCAAUGUGGUGUUCAGGUCAUUCCGCGGAGACACUGCUCCACUCCAAGUCCAGCAAUGAGUACGGUAAUACAGACUUGGCCCAAAGAGGGUGAAAGGCCCGUUGGGGUGGAGUCGCAGAAAUGCCAGUGUUUUUCUGGUUUGACCUUGGAGUCGGGUUGUUUGAGAAUGCAGCCCAAAGUGGGUGGUAAACUCCAUCCAAGGCUAAAUACUAACACGAGUCCGAUAGCGAACAAGUACCGUGAGGGAAAGUUGAAAAGUACUUUGAAGAGAGAGUAAACAGUGCGUGAAACCGCUCAGAGGUAAACUGGUGGAGUUGAACUGUGAACUCUGUGGAUUUAGCUGGUGAGUAUGGUUUGAGCUUGGUCAAAUUGGUUGAUGCUUGAAGUCUGCGUAGCAGCAGGUCCCUUCCUUCCGGUCGGGAUGCGCGAUACACUUAUCAAGUGUUGUGCGCUUCUUGUAUCUUCGAGCCAGCUUGCCAGUGCACUUUCACAGAGUGGUCACCACGACCGGCAUCGCUGUCUGGCUGUUGCGGUUAAACCGUCCUUGCAUUUUCUAUACGGACUUGUCUGGGCGGGAUGGCAGGUAACUCGUUGAUUUGCUUGUGGUUCGCUGCAGGCGUUAAGUCUUCGGGUGUAAUUAGCUGACCGCAUCUGGCUUGUGCAGUAUGUCGGAGACGGCGGCUUGUGGUGUGUGCGUGCGUUCCAGUCGGUUGGCGUUUCCGAGUUUGGUUAUUAUGUUGCUUGUGUGUGCAGGCCUGAUGAUAUCUCGGAUUCGUUCAGUCGGCGGUUGCGUGCGUGUCACUAUAUCCAGGGCCAAUAGUCUGUGGUGUUGCGGUAGACUUUCCACCUGACCCGUCUUGAAACACGGACCAAGGAGAGUAACAUGUGCGCGAGUCAUUGGGCGUAACGAAACCCAAAGGCGAAGUGAAAGUAAAGGUCUGGCUUGUCUGGACUGAGGUGAGAUCCUGUCGUUUCUCACGCGCGGUAUCACCAAGCACCGAGCGGCAGGCGCAUCACCGGCCCGUCCCAUGGUGUGGUGACAUCCUUCGGGGUGUUCAUCACCGGGGCGGAGCAUGAGCGUACAUGUUGAGACCCGAAAGAUGGUGAACUAUGCUUGCGCAGGUUGAAGCCAGAGGAAACUCUGGUGGAGGACCGUAGCGAUUCUGACGUGCAAAUCGAUCGUCAGACGUGAGUAUAGGGGCGAAAGACUAAUCGAACCAUCUAGUAGCUGGUUCCCUCCGAAGUUUCCCUCAGGAUAGCUGGUGUUCAGAGAUAUAAACAGUUUUAUCCGGUAAAGCGAAUGAUUAGAGGUAUUGGGGGCGAAACGUCCUCAACCUAUUCUCAAACUUUAAAUGGGUGAGAAGCUUGACUCGCCCAAACGGAGUCAGGCGUUGAAUGUGAAUGCCAAGUGGGCCAUUUUUGGUAAGCAGAACUGGCGCUGUGGGAUGAACCAAACGUCCGGUUAAGGUGCCUAACGCGACGCUCAUCAGAUACCACAAAAGGUGUUGGUUGGUCUAGACAGCAGGACGGUGGCCAUGGAAGUC
rnacentral:rRNA from 1 species